GAUGAAGAACGUAGCGAAAUGCGAUAAGUAGUGUGAAUUGCAGAAUUCAGUGAAUCAUCGAAUCUUUGAACGCACAUUGCGCCCUUUGGUAUUCCAAAGGGCAUGCCUGUUCGAGCGUCAUUUGUACCCUCAAGCUUUGCUUGGUGUUGGGCGUCUUGUCUCUAGCUUUGCUGGAGACUCGCCUUAAAGUAAUUGGCAGCCGGCCUACUGGUUUCGGAGCGCAGCACAAGUCGCACUCUCUAUCAGCAAAGGUCUAGCAUCCAUUAAGCCUUUUUUUCAACUUUUGACCUCGGAUCAGGUAGGGAUACCCGCUGAACUUAAGCAUAUCAAUAAGCGGAGGGA
rnacentral:misc_RNA from 1 species